CCUGGCUCAGGAUGAACGCUAGCGGGAGGCCUAAUACAUGCAAGUCGAGCGGUAGAGUGACUUCGGUUGCUUGAGAGCGGCGAACGGGUGAGUAACGCGUACACAAUCUACCUUUAAGAGGGGAAUAGCCCUGGGAAACUGGGAUUAAUGCCCCAUGGCAUCACGAAGUGGCAUCGCUUUGUGAUUAAAGCUGAGGUGCUUAGAGAUGAGUGUGCGUCUGAUUAGCUAGUUGGUGCGGUAACGGCGCACCAAGGCGACGAUCAGUAGGGGGCGUGAGAGCGUGGACCCCCACACGGGUACUGAGACACGGACCCGACUCCUACGGGAGGCAGCAGUAAGGAAUAUUGGUCAAUGGAGGAAACUCUGAACCAGCCAUCCCGCGUGCAGGAAGAAUGCCCUAUGGGUUGUAAACUGCUUUUAUCUGGGAAGAAAAGUCGGCAUUUAUGCUGAUCUGACGGUACCAGAGGAAUAAGCACCGGCUAACUCCGUG
rnacentral:rRNA from 1 species